GAAGAUGGAAGUAUUAGGUGGUAACUGAAAUGAUUUCAAUUGGGCAACGCUGAAUAAAAGUCGUCUCCCUUCCAGCACUGACCGACGGCUUUUCUCUUCUCGAUUUUCCUCUCAGUCCACCUUCCCUCUCUCUCUCCCUCUCUCUCUCACUCCCUCCACUUUCUCUAUCUAAAAAGACCAGCACAUACAAUUAGAUCAAACCCAUUUUUCCGAUUUCGUAUUUGGAGGAGUUGCUGAUCUUCCCUGACGGUGUUCGAUUUCUGCUGCUCCUUUGAUCCAACGCAGGACCCAGGAGGAUCUCGAUUGGAUUUGGGGGAGCUGAGGAGUGGUGGCUUUCUCUCUGUGUGCGUAUCGGUAGGGCUGGAUCUGGGCGGCCAUGGCGUUGUCAGGCAUGCGAGGCCUCUCUGUUUUCAUCAGCGACAUUCGGAAUUGUCAGAACAAAGAGCAGGAGAGGCUCCGGGUCGAUAAGGAGCUGGGGAAUGUCCGUACACGCUUCAAAAACGAAAAGGGUUUGACACCUUAUGAAAAGAAGAAAUAUGUCUGGAAAAUGCUUUACAUUUAUAUGCUGGGCUAUGAUGUGGAUUUUGGGCACAUGGAAGCAGUUUCUCUAAUAUCUGCGCCUAAGUAUCCAGAAAAGCAGGUUGGGUACAUUGUAACAGCAUGCUUGCUCAAUGAGAACCAUGAUUUUCUGAGAAUAGCGAUAAAUACGGUGCGCAAUGACAUCAUUGGUCGGAAUGAGACUUUCCAAUGUUUGGCGUUGACUAUGGUUGGGAAUAUUGGUGGCCGAGAAUUUGCGGAGUCAUUAGCACCUGAUGUUCAAAAAUUGCUUAUUUCUAGCAGCUACAGACCACUUGUGAGAAAAAAGGCUGCACUAUGUUUAUUGCGCUUGUAUAGAAAAAAUCCUGAUGUUGUGAAUGUAGAUGGCUGGGCUGACCGGAUGGCACAACUUUUAGAUGAACGUGAUCUUGGUGUGUUAACAUCAUCUAUGAGCCUUCUUGUUGCCCUUGUAUCAAACCACUAUGAUGCUUACUGGAGUUGUCUGCCAAAAUGCGUUAAAAUAUUAGAACGACUUGCUAGGAACCAGGAUAUUCCACAAGAGUACACCUACUAUGGCAUCCCAUCUCCCUGGCUUCAGGUCAGGACAAUGAGGGCUCUUCAGUAUUUUCCAACCGUCGAAGAUCCAAAUACCAGAAGAUCAUUGUUUGAGGUCUUACAGCGGAUUUUGAUGGGUACUGAUGUUGUGAAAAAUGUUAAUAAGAACAAUGCAUCACAUGCUGUUCUCUUUGAAGCCCUCGCUCUUGUCAUGCAUCUUGAUGCUGAAAAGGAGAUGAUGUCUCAGUGUGUUGCCCUUCUUGGAAAAUUUAUUGCUGUCCGAGAACCAAAUAUCCGAUAUCUUGGUUUGGAAAAUAUGACCCGCAUGUUAAUGGUGACUGAUGUGCAAGAUAUCAUCAAGAGACAUCAGGCUCAGAUCAUCACCUCAUUGAAGGAUCCAGAUAUCAGUAUACGUAGGCGUGCUCUAGACUUGCUUUAUGGUAUGUGUGAUGUUUCAAAUGCAAAAGAUAUAGUCGAAGAAUUAUUGCAGUAUCUUAGCACAGCAGAUUUUGCCAUGCGUGAAGAAUUGUCUCUUAAGGCUGCCAUUCUUGCAGAAAAGUUUGCCCCUGAUCUUUCUUGGUAUGUAGAUGUGAUUCUUCAAUUAAUUGACAAGGCUGGAGACUUUGUUAGUGAUGAUAUAUGGUUUCGUGUUGUGCAAUUUGUUACAAAUAACGAAGACUUACAGCCUUAUGCAGCAGCAAAAGCUAGGGAGUAUCUAGACAAACCUGCUAUACAUGAGACUAUGGUUAAGGUCAGUGCAUAUAUCAUUGGAGAAUUUGGCCACCUUUUGGCCAGACGGCCUGGGUGCAGUCCAAAGGAAUUAUUUAGCGUCAUACAUGAGAAGCUUCCUGCUGUGACGACAUCUACGGUACCUAUUCUUCUUUCAACAUAUGCUAAGAUCUUUAUGCACACUCAACCUCCAGAUCAGGAACUACAGAAUCAGAUCUGGUCAAUUUUCAACAAAUAUGAGAGUUGCAUUGAUGUUGAGAUACAACAAAGAGCUGCUGAAUACCUUGCCUUAAGUAGGAGAGGUGCAGCUCUGGUGGAUAUUUUGGCUGAAAUGCCUAAAUUUCCUGAGCGGCAGUCUGCAUUGAUCAAGAAGGCCGAAGAUACAGAAGUUGAUACAGCGGAACAAAGUGCUAUCAAGUUGCGGGCCCAGCAGCAAACAUCGAGUGCUUUGGUUGUGACCGACCAACGCCCUGCUAAUGGGACCCCGCCUGUCAACCAGUUUGAUCUUGUCAAGAUGCCCAGCAUGAGCAGUAAUGCGGAUCACAAUUCAACUGACCAAGGGUCGUCUCAGGAAAAUGGUACUUUGAGUAAAGUUGAUCCUCAGGCACCUUCAGCAGAUAUCCUUGGUGAUCUAUUGGGUCCCAUGGCUAUUGAAGGCCCUCCCGCUACUGCUGGUCAGCCUCAGCAGAAUGUAAUCCCUGGAUUAGGAGGUGAUCCAGAUGCCGUGGAUGCUUCAGCAAUUGUGCCUGUUGGCGAGGAGCAAAAUUCUUAAAUGCAGCCAAUAGGAAAUAUUGCUGAAAGGUUUCAUGCUCUCUGCUUGAAAGAUAGUGGUGUUCUAUACGAAGAUCCUAAUAUUCAGAUUGGAAUUAAAGCCGAGUGGCGGCUACAUCAAGGAUGUCUUGUUCUUUUCUUGGGAAACAAAAAUACUUCACCACUUGUGUCAGUUCAGGCUAUAAUAUUACCUCCCUCUCAUUUGAAAAUGGAGCUCUCACUAGUACCGGAUACUAUUCCUCCCAGGGCACAGGUACAAUGCCCGCUUGAACUUGUGAAUCUCAGACCUAGCAGGGAUGUAGCAGUUCUUGAUUUUUCCUACAAGUUUGGUAACAAUAUGGUCAAUGUCAAGCUUCGCCUCCCAGCUGUCUUAAAUAAAUUUCUUCAGCCUAUUCCAGUGUCUGCUGAAGAGUUCUUUCCUCAGUGGAGAUCACUUUCAGGGCCACCUCUGAAGCUUCAAGAAGUGGUUAGAGGUGUCAAACCAAUGCCACUUGUAGAAAUGGCGAAUCUACUUAACAGUUUUCGGUUGAUGGUUGUCCGGCACUUGUAAGACCCAAAUCCAAAUAAUCUUGUUGCAAGUACAACGUUUUACUCAGAAAGUACACGGGCCAUGCUUUGCUUGGUUAGAAUAGAAACAGAUCCAGCAGACAGAACACAGUUGCGUAUGACAGUUGCUUCAGGGGACCCUACAUUAACGCUCGAGUUGAAGGAGUUCAUCAAGGAACAAUUAGUUAUCAUGCCUACAGCUCGCGAACCUGGACCGGUGCCACCAGCACCUCCAGUAGCUCAACCUACCAGUCCAGUUUCAGCAUUAACGGACCCUGGGGCUAUGCUGGCCGGCUUGCUGUGACAAAGUGAAGGUGAUGUGUGAGGAUUUGUUCAUUAUACACUCGUAAAUCUGAUUUAUACAACCCGCCCAGUGGUCUCUCUCGCACAAAGUUCAAGUGGUGGAUAAAGAAAAUCCCACUGCAAGGGCUGGCGGAAUUGAAGUGUGAGCUGAUUUGUGCGGGCAGCUUUAGUGUGAGUGGAUAUCUCCACGGGUGGUUGGUCGGGGUUUUUAGAUUCUUUAUGUACAAUGCAAUUGUGCCUGCGUGAGAAAUUUUCUCGGUUUUGGGGUGAGGGUAUUUUUCUUUUUUCGUUCUCGUUUCACAUUUUUUUCCCCUUCCCAGCGGCAGCGGAUUGGUUUCUGUAGUUACGGGGACUUGGCAGGAGAAUGUAAGAUAACAUGAAGUAGAUUAGUUGUAGUGGAAGCUUGUAUUUGUUUGUUGUUGAUGCAUAAAUUUGUUUUUCUCAGUAAUACAAACGAUUGGGUGAUGUGCAGUGUGAUAUGUUUCUUUCUGUAGAACCCAAAUUAGUUUGUAAACUAUAGAUUUACCACAACUUGUCCUUGUACGGGAGUAAUAAUUUAGGUGGAUGACUUUUGCAAGA